AUGUAUCGCAACGGUUAGCGCGUUGGACUUUCAAUCCGAUGAUUGUGGGUUCGAAUCCCAUUUUUCUGAGAAAUA